rnacentral:rRNA from 1 species
CACGGGGGGAGCAAGCGUUGUUCGGAAUCACUGGGCGUAAAGGGCGUCUAGGCGGUCAAGUAAGUGGGAUGUGAAAUGCCCCGGCUCACCCGGGGACCGGCAUCCCAUACUGUUUGGCUUGAGUACGGGAGAGGAUGUGGGAAUUCCUGGUGUAGCGGUGAAAUGCGUAGAUAUCAGGAGGAACACCGGUGGCGAAGGCGCACAUC